UUUUCACUUCCUCUUUCACUCAUAUCACUCGUUCUUCUGUGGAGACUCACACGGCAUCUCUGGACUUACAGAUUUGGAACAGUGAACAUGAAGUUCGCAGUACUUCUGAGUGGACUCCUGCUGCUCUUUCUGCUUCCUAACUGGACAGAAAGUGUUGACACUGUGGACAUCAGUAUUCUCGCCCGUAUUAUAAACUUCUUUGAGCGGAACUAUAAGAGAGUCGAUGAAGAUGGCCGUCCUCAUCAGUAUGCUGUAGCCAUCAAUGUGCCAAAGCGUCAAUGUCGACAAAACUUCAAACCUGCACAGAACAACUUCCUGACUCGAG